GUCUUUUUGUAAAUAAUAUAAAGUCUUAUCUGCCCCCUGAUUUUUUUAAAGGGCUGCAGUAAAUUGACUGUACAAAGGUAGCAUAAUAAUUAGUCUUUUAAUUGAAGACUUGUAUGAAAGAUUUAAUGAGAUAUAAACUGUCUCUUUUUUAUAAUUAAAAUUUAAUUUUUUAGUAAAAAAGCUAAAAUUUAUUUAAAAGACGAGAAGACCCUAUAGAGUUUAAUAUUUAAAUUAAUUAUAAUUUUUUAUUAAUUUUUAAUAAAAAUUAAAAUAAAUAUUUUAUUGGGGUGAUAAAAAAAUAUAUAAAACUUUUUUUAUAAUUUUUAUUUAUAUAUGUAUAUAUAUAUAUAUAUAUAUAAAUAAGUAUUUAACAUUAAUAAAUGAAUAAAUGAUCCAUAAUUUAUGAUUAUAAGAAAAAAUUACCUUAGGGAUAACAGCGUAAUUUUUUUUUUUAGUUCAUAUAAAAAAAAAAGUUUGCGACCUCGAUGUGGGAUUAAAAAAAAAUUUAAAUGGAAAAUUUUAAAUUUUUUGAUCUGUUCAAUCAUUAAAAUCUUACA
rnacentral:rRNA from 1 species